UGCACCCCUAAGUUUACGCGUCAGGUGAACUGCACACCUGAUUCAAAUCAAUCAAUCAAGAUCUCAUACGCGCUCACGGUCCCUUUGCAACGAACUUUAUUAUCAUUUUGGACUGAAUUUUCCGCUGAAGAAACCUGAAAACAACCGAGGGGCAUGCCUUGACUCAAAACAAACAAGGAAUAGUCAACUUCACCGUUUGGUUUUAUCUGGAAACAUAGAUAGCUUGCUCAGCAGAGUUGAGAAUCAUACAUGCUAAAUGCGCAUGGGAGACAUAGAAGCUAACAGCUGUGCGAUGAGGACUGUCAGCAAAACAAACAAAUGGAGCAACAUUGGGCCCUUCAUAUCCAUGAAAGAAAAGGGAUGACUUGGACAUCAAAAACAAACAGCCCGAAAGUGCCAGAACUGCCAGCUCAGGGGUUGCUGCAAAGGGCUGGGUGCCAGCACUGCGCUGUCUUCAAAGUAUCCUGGAUUUAUUCCGCAUACAGAGACACUUCUGCACUGCUUUUCACACCAUGGAGAACAUGAACAAGACAGAAACCCUGGGUUUCUCAUAAAUGCGUUUCCAAUUCAGCCAGAAGUGGAUGAAAGGAUCUUCGCUGUGCAAUAACUGCAGGACCUUGUGCUUGAAGAUGUCUCAGCAGCAGACCACACAUAGAAGUGCAGAGGAGGCUCUCACUGUCUGUCUGAUAAAGUGCACACACAGCGGUGGGAAAA